AUACGGAGGGGGCUAGCGUUGUUCGGAAUUACUGGGCGUAAAGCGUACGUAGGCGGAUUGUUAAGUUAGAGGUGAAAUCCCGGGGCUCAACCCCGGAACUGCCUUUAAAACUGGCAAUCUAGAGUUAUGGAGAGGUAAGUGGAAUUCCUAGUGUAGAGGUGAAAUUCGUAGAUAUUAGGAGGAACACCAGAGGCGAAGGCGGCUUACUGGACAUAUACUGACGCUGAGGUACGAAAGUGUGGGGAGCGAACGGGAUUAGAAACCCCAGUAGUCC
rnacentral:rRNA from 1 species